CUCGUGAACCUCAGAAGAAGAAAACUCAAAGAUUGAGUGUUCAGUUCGAUGUUCAUCAUGAGAGAAAAGGUGGAUGUGAUCUGCUGUAAAUCAGUAGGAACUGAUCUGUCCAUGCUGGAUAUUGAUGAUUUCAUCACAGAAAUCUCUCAGCUGAAGAAAGAGGUGACGUCACUGAAGACAAAGCUGAUGGAGAGAGAGGACAGGAGCUGGAAAAGGUUUCCUGUCAAUCUUCAGUGUGUGUGACUGAUGGGACCUCCACAGAAUGUCAGGAUUCAGUGUGGAGCGGCAGAGAUCAGUCCACACCACAGCGACUGCU